AAAUAAUUAAACUCUUGGUGCCAAAUUUUGGUUCCAAAACCCUCGGAGCGCGUAAGCGCAAGCUGAUAUGUCCUCUCUGCGUAUUGACAACGAGCGGAGCUCGACAAACACACACACACACACACACACACACACAC